rnacentral:rRNA from 1 species
UACGAAGGGUGCAAACGUUGCUCGGAAUCAUUGGGCGUAAAGCGCACGUAGGCGGCGCAGUAAGUCGGACGUGAAAUCCCUCGGCUCAACCGAGGACGUGCAUCCGAAACUACUGUGCUCGAGUAUGGAAGAGGGUCGCGGAAUUCUCGGUGUAGAGGUGAAAUUCGUAGAUAUCGGGAGGAACACCGGUGGCGAAGGCGGCGACCUGGGUAGAUACUGACGCUGAGGUGCGAAAGCGUGGGGAGCAAACAGG